AUGAAAAAACAAGCCAUCUGCCGGGAGUCCAAGGACGUGCUAGUGUCAUGGUACUGGUUCCUCAAGAAGGUAGUCGCCCUCGGCGACCACCAGCCGCACCUCGAUCUUGACUUCGCCGAGCUCUUCGAGGUGUUCUGCGAGGGCCGCAACAUAUGCGGGCCCAUGUGGCGGCAGGCGGCCGAGUACUGGGAGGCGAGUAGGGAGCGCCCGGACAAGGUGCUCUUCCUCGGGUACCAUCACGGUGGAGGAGGAGGAUGCCCGCGUGGUGGCUGCCAUCUUGGAGCUGUGCAGCCUGGAGAAGCUACGGAACCUGGAGGUGAACAGGAAAGGCGCACCGGGGUGAGCACCGACUCCAACGUCGCCUUCUUCAGGAAGGGCAUGGUCGGCGACUGGAGCAACCACAUGAUGCCCGCCAUGGCAGCGAGGCUGGAUGCCAUCGUCGAGGACAUGCUACGAGGCAGCAGGGGCUUCUCGUUUACUAACUCUUGCCAUGCGGAAGAAGGUGCUCCGCCGUAUAUCGGUUGA
rnacentral:rRNA from 1 species